rnacentral:lncRNA from 1 species
AUAUACCCCUUUCCCAACAUACACUUCUCCAAAACAAUUACUAUACCAAAUAUCCACAACUAUUACUGUUGGGAACAAGAACUUGGUAAAGGAGUGUAUGCAGAAGGGCCAAAAGAACACAGAGAUAAGGUUGUGAUGCAUGGUCUGAGGUGGAUGGCAGCUAUGAUAAUGGUCAGGUGUGUGCUUGCGAGUGGAUAAGAAGAGGGUAUGGGCUGUUAGGUGGCUUAAAUUUUCAUUUCCCUGCUUUUGUAGGUUUAUCAUCAGUCACGUCACAGUAACCCUAACUUGUUCAAAAUGAUGUUUUUUCUAACAGAAAUUCUAACAUGGUUACACCGCUGAUUUUUUUCCGUAGCCAUUUGUGUUGAAAUAUUUUGUACAGAUUCAUACUGUGUGUUAGGAUCUUGGACUAAAUAUUAUAAAUGUUCUAGCAUUGAAAAGCCAGGCCCAAAGAAAACAAUCCAGGGACCUGAUCCUGCACUCCUUUCUGAGAUCUGCAGUAGCUAUAAACAGCCCAGCGUGACCCUCAGCCCCAGAUGUGUAAAAAGCUUUGGAAGCAAUCUCGAUUAG